GACGAACGCUGGCGGCGUGCUUAACACAUGCAAGUCGAACGGAAAGGCCCUGCUUUUGUGGGGUGCUCGAGUGGCGAACGGGUGAGUAACACGUGAGUAACCUGCCCUUGACUUUGGGAUAACUUCAGGAAACUGGGGCUAAUACUGGAUAGGAGCCCCUGCUGCAUGGUGGGGGUUGGAAAGUUUCGGCGGUUGGGGAUGGACUCGCGGCUUAUCAGCUUGUUGGUGGGGUAGUGGCUUACCAAGGCUUUGACGGGUAGCCGGCCUGAGAGGGUGACCGGCCACAUUGGGACUGAGAUACGGCCCAGACUCCUACGGGAGGCAGCAGUGGGGAAUAUUGCACAAUGGGCGGAAGCCUGAUGCAGCAACGCCGCGUGCGGGAUGACGGCCUUCGGGUUGUAAACCGCUUUCGCCUGUGACGAAGCGUGAGUGACGGUAAUGGGUAAAGAAGCACCGGCUAACUACGUG
rnacentral:rRNA from 1 species